rnacentral:rRNA from 1 species
AUACGGAGGGAGCUAGCGUUGUUCGGAAUUACUGGGCGUAAAGCGUACGUAGGCGGUUAUUUAAGUCAGAUGUGAAAGCACCGGGCUUAACUUGGGAACUGCAUUUGAAACUGGGUAACUCGAGUUUAGUAGAGGGGAGUGGAAUUUCAGGUGUAGCGGUGAAAUGCGUAGAGAUCUGAAGGAACACCAGUGGCGAAGGCGACUCCCUGGACUAAAACUGACGCUGAGGUACGAAAGCGUGGGUAGCAAACAGGAUUAGAAACCCUAGUAGUCC